AUUGAACGCUGGCGGCAUGCCUUACACAUGCAAGUCGAACGGCAGCACGGGUGCUUGCCCCUGGUGGCGAGUGGCGAACGGGUGAGUAAUACAUCGGAACAUGUCCUGUAGUGGGGGAUAGCCCGGCGAAAGCCGGAUUAAUACCGCAUACGAUCUACGGAUGAAAGCGGGGGACCUUCGGGCCUCGCGCUAUAGGGUUGGCCGAUGGCUGAUUAGCUAGUUGGUGGGGUAAAGGCCUACCAAGGCGACGAUCAGUAGCUGGUCUGAGAGGACGACCAGCCACACUGGGACUGAGACACGGCCCAGACUCCUACGGGAGGCAGCAGUGGGGAAUUUUGGACAAUGGGCGAAAGCCUGAUCCAGCAAUGCCGCGUGUGUGAAGAAGGCCUUCGGGUUGUAAAGCACCUUUGUCCGGAAAGAAAUCCUUGGCCCUAAUACGGUCGGGGGAUGACGGUACCGGAAGAAUAAGCACCGGCUAACUACGUG
rnacentral:rRNA from 1 species